rnacentral:rRNA from 1 species
AAUGACUCUCGGCAACGGAUAUCUUGGCUCUCGCAUCGAUGAAGAACGUAGCAAAAUGCGAUACGUGGUGUGAAUUGCAGAAUUCCGUGAACCAUCGAGUUUUUGAACGCAAGUUGCGCCCGAAGCCAUCCGGUUGAGGGCACGCCUGCCUGGGCGUCACGC